rnacentral:tRNA from 1 species
GCCUGGGUGGCUCAGUCGGUUAAGCAUCUGACUUCAGCUCAGGUCAUGAUCUCAUGGUUCAUGGGUUUGAGCCCCACAUCAGGCU